UAAGCAGAAUGCUGGUGUGGUGUGGGGGGGGAAGAAGUUCCAUUGUGUCCCUACUGAAGGGACACAGAAGUACCAAAAGGGUCACUGAACUGCCAGGUACCAAGUGGUACCAGGUGCCACGAGGCUGCCAAAGGCAGAGAUGAGCCAAGCCAUCAACUUCAGCUGAGGUUGAGACAUGGCAUCCAUAAAUGCCAAACAGGACCAUACUCUAUGCAGAGAAUAAGGAUCAGAAAAUCAAGUGCAAAACGGGAAGUCUCCCUAGAACCCACAUGUGCUGAUUCAAGACACCCUUAUUCUCAAGCCACAGUGUUACCUAUUCCCUUGCCCCGAACACCCAGAUACCAUUUUGGUGAGGAACAGGAGAAAGGAAAGGGAAUACAAUGUAAAAGGACUGUUUGAAUCAGAAGAGAUUGACAUAUUGAUAUUUGUCCAGUUCCAUGGUUUCUACCCCACACCCAAUAAGAAAGAGGCUUAAGAGGAACAUUAGUUCAUGAGACUAACUGGCUGUUCAUUAAACCCACAGCUGGACUACAUUUUCAGCCUUCCUUGCAGUUAGGUGUAACCAUGUGAAUGGAUCUGGCCAAUAAAAGUGAUCUUGGAAACCAGGUAUUGAAGAUGGUGAGGCCACAGAUGGAAGGCACCUGGAUCCAGAUUUAAAAGAGUUGCCUGCCAAUCAGGAACACCCUUUUUGAGCUUUGGGGAUGUGUUUUAG
rnacentral:lncRNA from 10 species